UACGAAGGGGGCUAGCGUUGCUCGGAAUCACUGGGCGUAAAGCGCACGUAGGCGGGUUCUUAAGUCAGGGGUGAAAUCCUGGAGCUCAACUCCAGAACUGCCUUUGAUACUGGGAAUCUCGAGUCCGGGAGAGGUGAGUGGAACUGCGAGUGUAGAGGUGAAAUUCGUAGAUAUUCACAAGAACACCAGUGGCGAAGGCGGCUCACUGGCCCGGUACUGACGCUGAGGUGCGAAAGCGUGGGGAGCAAACAGG
rnacentral:rRNA from 1 species